AAUCAAUUACGUGCAAAUAUUAUUGCCCUUGCCGUCUCCCUGACAUGCCUACAGAUGCAUCCGGAGAAUCCCCUUUCCCCUUAGAUCGAUUUCUGAUCUUCGAAGAAUUCAUCAAUUCAACUAAAUCUAAUUGAAAUUUUUUAUUGAUUUGUUUAUUUUUUAAAUUUAUUUUCCUCUGUAUUGAGUAUAAAUUUUCUAUAAUUAAUCAAAAUGAAGGAUGAUGAUGCGCUACCCAUAUCAACACCCACUUCAUCAUCAGUUGUACCGUCAUCUUCAGUUAUUCUGAAGAAGGAUAAUUACUCUGAUUCAUCGAGCGUUUUCGGCCGAGGCCGGUACAAGUUUUGGGCAUUGGCUGCAAUUUUGCUGCUGGCAUUCUGGUCAAUGCUCACCGGAACCGUCACCCUCCGGUGGUCUGCUGGUAACCUCAACCGCCUGUCCGAUAACCUUGAGCCCGCAGCCAGACACGACCUCGAUGUCCUCGUAAGUUGUAACCCGUUUGCAUGUACAUCUAGGCUUGAUUAGAUGUACGAAUUCAUGUAAUUGGUUGUGUGCAAUGGAAAUCUCAUUUGAAUGGAUUUGUUUCGAAUUAGGAUAUGGAGGAGAGAGAGAAAUUGGUGAAGCACAUGUGGGAUGUGUACACAAAUAGCAGGCGAAUCAGGUUGCCAAGUUUCUGGCAGGAGGCAUUUGUGGCGGCCUAUGAGGACUUGACCAGCGAGGUUCCUGAAGUCCGGGAGGCUGCUAUUUCGGAGAUUGCCGGGAUGUCCACUCGCUACCUCGGUGUUGAGCCACCUCCACUCCGAUCUUCGUCAUCAUUGGUAGGUUCUUUUACUUAUAUUAUAUAAAUUUCUCGUUUAAUGAGAUCUAAUUGAUGUAAAUUGAGAAUCUUCUUCCCUCGUACAUUGGCUUCAAAAUUUUAUAUUCAAUCGAAAUUUAUUUUGAAGUGUAGGGCUUAUUUAUUAGACAUAAUCUGCAUUGUAGUGAGUUUAUGUGAUUUAGAUGAAAAAGAAUUAGUCUGAGACCUUAAUUAAGAAGCAACUUGAGAUUUCCACCAUGGCCAUGAUUAUAGGAAAAUGGUGGAAUCUUCAUAGAAAAUGAACAUGGGGAACAAACCACUGUGAGCUUGUGAUUACUUUAGCUCUAUGUAGCCCAUCUGAAGUCAGGGAUCUAGGAAAAGGGACACUUCUAGAGUCAAACUCUUUGGUUUUGUUAAGCUAAAUAGUGUAAAAAAAUGGAGAAAAUAUUAAACUACUCCAGUUUAAAUUUCUUGCAGCUUAAUGUCUUGUUCAAGCGCAGCUAUAAGAACAAAGAAGCCAGUUUUGAUUGUGUUUUGGGCUCUUUAUAAUUGCAAACUCUGCAACGCUGGGUCUUGGUGAUGCAUUUAGACUCCUAACCUAUGACGACCCGAGUUCUAAAAUUCAAGUGCCGGUAAAUAUUUAUUUUGAACAUGAAAAAAAUGCUUUUUACAACUUAAAAUUUUAUUGAAUACCAUUCAAAAUUUAACGUCAAAUAAAUAUCUUCUAAAGAUUUGAAUAAAAGAAUAAGUUGUUAAAUAAAUAAACAUAAGCAUGGUGGGUCUUCUUUCACUUGCCACAUUGUCACGAACCAUUAAUUUCUUGAAAGGGGUACUAGGAGGGGGUGAGAUAAAAUCUCAAUAAGCAUAUCACUACAUAGAUUAAUAUUGUACAGAAUUUAAGUAACUUCAUACAUACAUACAUAAUGAGACACAAAAAUCCAUACCGAACAUAGGUGAUAUGAAAUUUUCAUGCGUAACGCUACUAUACUUCAGUCUAAACUUAGAACAUAUAUCAAUGACCUCAUAGUCAAUGUUUCAAAAAUCUAACGUACACAUAUAAUCUGAUAAAUAUAUUUAUACACUUACAUAUAUCAUGUGAUAAGAGAAAUACUGGAAUAUAUUUGGGACUUCAACCUUAAUCCACGUACUGAUGAAUAUAUUUUAUUUUUGUUUGUUUGUAUUUCGAAGAAAAAUAAAUGUAAUUGUAAAGGAAACAUAUGAUGCCUAUUUACAGGGACCACAAUGCUUUGAGAGUUCUAAUUUAAUUGAACUUUUAAUUUUAAAAAUGAUAAAAUCUUAUCAUUAUCUCAACCAUAUUUUAAUUAAUGAGAUAAGAUAAUGAAUUUAAAAUAAUAAAAAAAAUCAUUAUCUCCAUUGAAACAUUAUCUCAAUUAUUUUUUAACAUUAAAUAAAAUAUAGAUAAAAUCAAAGUAUUAUCUUAAUAGGAAUUUGGUUUUAUCUCAAUCAUUUAAAAUUUCAAUUUAAUUAAAAGAGAUAAAAAUUAAAACACUGUCUCCAUUAUUUAAUUAAAAUUAAAUAAGUCUUUUAACCACUCGAGCUUAAGCCCAAAGGAAAAAACAAAACGGUGUAUAAAACAAAAAGGUGUGGGCUAUCAUUUUCACAUAAUGGACUUUCAUGUAACUAAGAGGGCUAAAAUAUUAAUCGUGUCUAAUUUUUUUUUUUUUAAUAACGGGCCAAACCUAAAUUAAUAAAAUUAGGCCAUAACCUCCAUAUCCAUGUAUGUGGUCCAUGAAGAUAUUCCAGACCUGAACUUUCUAUUGUCUUUGAUUUCUUUCACUUGCUUACUCUAAUGCAUAUCAGUUAUACUACUUAGAAGUUUCUUCUAACUAUUAAUCUAUGUGAGUUAAAUGCUCAAUUAAUCUCUAAAUUGGCAAUAUUGUGCCAAUAAUUUGUUAAUUGCCACUUUAAAUCUGAAGAUGAUAUUUUUAUAAGCUGCUAGAUAUAAUUUUGGUUUAGGGCCGUUGACAAAUUUUGUAUUCAAAGGACCAGCGCAUAUUUAAACGAACAAGCUAGUCCAAUUUUUUACUUGUUGUGCAAGGAGCCGUUUGACAUGACUUUUAAAAAGUCAAAAAGGACUUUUCAUAUUCAAAAGCUGCAUUUGGGCUCGUUUGGCUAAUAUUAUGAAAGUACUUCUUAUAGUUAGAAGAGUUUUUAAAGGUAAUUGGUCCAACGUGCUUUCCUCUAAACGCACUUUAGAAAUAUGAAUUCUUUUUAAAAAAAAAAUAGUUUUUAAGUAAAAAUUAAGGUAGCUUCCUCGAUGCUCAGACUCUCCAUUUCGGCCGGAGCACCUAUGUCGACACUGGUACGAGUAUGAAAUAUUGGGUGGACAUGGCAUUUUCCAAUUGGACACGGUAGGAUGGAGAAAGGCGCCAGCUAGGUUUUUCCUUUUUAUUUCUUUUUUUCUUUUCCUUUUCUUCUUUCUCGUUUUUCCUCUCUUGAGGAAAUGGGGAGGUACAACGGCGUCAUAACCGGAGAAGAGGAGGCCUUGGGCAGCGCAGUCAGAGCACGUAGAGUUGCUGGAGCAAAGAGAAGGAAGAGAAAAUUGAAAAGAGAGAAACUAAAUGGAAAAUAAUGACCUUCUAGGUUAAUAACUAGGCUUUUAUUGGACUUCUAGGUUAAUAAUGGACUUUUAUUUUAUGUAGAUCUAUUUUUAGGACUUCUUUUGGCCCAUUUAUUUUUUUAUUUAAUGAAAUAAUUAUUAAAUAACAAUUAAAAUGUGUUUUAAAAAAAACUCUUGAACUUAAUAUUAAUUUUUUAAAGUAUAUAUUUAUACAAUAACUUAUUUAGUACAAAUUUCUAAGUUUAAAGUGACAUAUUCUAUCUUUCAAUAAUUUGUCACUUAAUUAUCAUUUAACUUUUUACGUAUGAAUUUCUGUGGAAAAAAUUGAAAUUGAAAGAUGUACCCACGUACUUGUGUUCGAAUUUUGGACUUUUUUUUUUAACCAUCUCUAUAUUCUACAUUUUAGAAAAUAAAAUGACCUUUCUCAACCCACCAAAUCGGUGGGUUUUGAAGAUAAAAUAUGGUCCUCAUUGUUCCUAGGCUAAGUAUCCAAAGAAGAACAGUUUGUUUCUCUACACAUCCACUCUACCCUGGUGGAAGCACAGUGAACAUGUCACCAGGAUCCACUUCAGUAGACUUGUUGUUUCUCGUAAUGAUUUGGCCAUGCGUCCUAUUGCUCUUGAUUUAAGACUGAUCGGCCUAGAAUCAGAUCCAUUCGAUCAUAUGGGAUGGAAGUAGUCCAUUGGACCGAUGAGAGAGUGGUCCACAAUCUCCUCCCAUCGUCUCACAGUUGCCACGUUUUGUAACAACCUGACGAGUUGCAGUGCGUGGUUCAAUGUGACGAGAAUGGGUCGGACAUUUUUGGGAGAGCACUGCCUCUACUAAAGACAAUCCCCUUGCUUAUUUUAUACUGAUCAAAAACAACUGCCAGGGGGUGGCGGGUGGCCAACCCUUAAAGAUCUACAUAUCAUUCACUUUGUUAAGUACCUUCUCCCCUUUUCUUUCUUCAAGCAAUAUUGCAAGGUUUCGCGACUAUUCUGUUGCACUCUUGCAUGUUGUACAUGUGGCUCAUAUAGAGUGGAACACAGGCCCUGGAUCAAAUGGGUCGAUGCCGGCGCGGAGCGGAGCGGAGUGGAGUGAGAGGAGCGGAGCGCAUCGAACGGAACGGAACGGAGCGGAGCGACGGCAUCGGUCUUGCGCGGGUUUAAUUCACUGUCUGGUUGUUAGGGACGCUGAAUGGGUUGGGGCGUUGCCCCCGCGGUACGGUACAGGGGUAUUUUCUGUACGGGCCUUAAAGUUUUAUAUGGGCCCAGAUUAGGGUUAGUAUAAAUAAUAUGUUGUAACCCUAUUUUUCACAAUAGAAUAAAACGGAAAUCUCCGCUUCGCUCUCGUGGACGUAGGCACAUCGCCGAACCACGUAAAAUUCUUGUGUUGAUUUCCGUUUUUCAUCUCUUUAAUAUUGCGCAUAAAAUCCAACAACUGGUAUCAAAGUCAGGUUCAGAUGGCGAGUUCUUCGAUUGCAAAAUUUGAUGUGAUGAAGUUUGACGGAUCUGGGAACUUCGGAUUAUGGCAGCGAAGGGUGAAGGAUUUGUUGGCGCAGCAAGGGAUGAUGAAGGCACUAUCUGGGAAGAAACCAGAGGGUACGUCAGAUGUCGAUUGGGAAGAGCUCGAGGCGCGAGCAGUUGGUACAAUUCGGCUUUGUUUGGCGGACGAAAUCAUGUAUCAUGUCAUGGACGUUGAGUCUCCGGCGGAGGUUUGGGAGAAAUUGGAGAGUCGUUAUAUGUCAAAGUCUCUCACGAACAAACUGCAUCUAAAGCAACGGCUGUAUGGGCUAAAGAUGUUGGAGGGUACGGAUCUGAUUCAACACACCAAUGUGUUCAAUCAGAUCAUCAGCGAUCUAUUGAGGCUUGAAAUCNAAAUUGAAAUUGAAAGAUGUACCCACAUACUUGUGUUCGAAUUUUGGACUUUUUUUUAACCAUAUCUCUAUAUUCUACAUUUUAGGAAAUAAAAUGACCUUUCUCAGCCCACCAAAUCGGUGGGUUUUGAAGAUAAAAUAUGGUCCUCAUUGUUCCUAGGCUAAAUAUCCAAAGAAGAACAGUUUGUUUCUCUACACAUCCAAUCUACCCUAGUGGAAGCACAGUGAACAUGUCACCAGGAUCCACUUCAGUAGACUUGUUGUUUCUCGUAAUGAUUUGGCCAUGCAUCCUAUUGCUCUUGAUUUAAGACUGAUCGGCCUAGAAUGAGAUCCAUUCGAUCAUAUGGGAUGGAAGUCCAUUGGACCAUCAUGACUCAGGCUUCCCUGGAAUGUGAUUGACCAUUGGACCGACGAGAGAGUGGUCCACAAUCUCCUCCCACUGUCUCACAGUCGCCACGUUUUGUAACAACCUGACCAGUUGCAGUGUGUGGUUCAAUGUGAUGAGAAUGGGUCGGACAUUUUUGGGAGAGCACUACCUCUACUAAAGACAAUCCCCUUGCUUAUUUUAUACUGAUCAAAAACAACUGCCAGGGGGUGGCGGGUGGCCAACCCUUAAAGAUCUACUUCUCAUUCACUUUGUUAAGUACCUUCUCCCCUUUUCUUUCUUCAAGCAAUAUUGCAAGGUUUCGCGACUAUUCUGUUGCACUCUUGCACACGAUGUUUUGCUGCUAUUCUAUUAUUCUCUCUGUCUCUGACACAGUCUUUCCAUCUAAAACACAUGCUUGAUAUCAGCAUCAGAGUGAAAUAAGGAAGACACUAUCGUGGUGUCAAGGAUUUGCAGUUGACAAGGUCUAGUCAUUGAGAUUUGGAGAAAAUUUGGUAGGAGAAAUUACAUUUUGAGCAUCCUACAGUUUCCGUUUUCACUGUAUUUUUCUAUUUUUUGAAUGCUUCUUAAGCUCUUUUCCAACUUCUUUCAUAAAUUCUCUUAUUAGCAUCAGAAAAUCAGGAAUUAUUAAUGGUGUUCUGAACUUAUUGAAGAACAACCUUAGUAGCUUAGAUUUAUUAUCGUCUUUUCUAUUUCGUCAUCUUAGCUCGAUUAUCUAUUCUGAUUACUUUUUUACUUACCCUGCUAAUUCAGCAUUGGUAGGAACAUAUGUUUACUCUUCUGAUAAUGAUGGAACGUUGUUAUUCGCAUGUUAUUAUGUUUAUUAUUGCCUAUUAAGCAAGCAGUAUAAUGGUUUCACUUUCUUUUCCCCAACUUGUAGCAGUGCCCUCAAAAGUGUUGGGCCCUGCCAGAUAAAUGGUUUCUUAAAAUUCUGUUCAGCUUUUGUUUAUGUCACCUAAUUUCUCAUGGAGCAGAAACUCUGUGAUAGCAUGUUUCAAGUUACUUAAAUUGGAAAUGCACAUUUACUCGUCUGCUCUGUAGCACAGACGCUUCAAUUAGGAUAACGUGUCGUGUCCAACACGUGUCGAUACUGACAUUCCUCGGACAUUCUACCAUAAACAUUUUUCAAUCUUUACUUAAAAUAUUAUAUAUUUUUAAUUCAAAAUUAUUAGUCAAUAACAAAUAGGUACUCAUAUUUAAAAAAUUUCAACAAAAAAAAAAAAAUAAAUAAAUAAAUAAAAAGUAUAAAACUAAAUUUAUAUUAUAUAAAUGAAAAUUUUUAAACAAUUUAAUCAACGUGUCGACGACGUGUCGUGUCGGUACUUUUUAAAAAAUCACGUGUCGGUGUAUUCGACAUGUAUCGUGCAGACAUGUGUUUGUGUUGGUGCAUCAUAGCUUGUCUACUUAUGUAUAAAAGAUUAAUUUUGCUUGCUUUUUGAGUUAAUCUUUUAUUUAAUUGUCUAUACUAAUCGUUAAUUUCUCUCGUUUCCCCUUCCACUUUUCACCCAGACAUCUGGUUUUCAAACACGAUAAAUAUCCGUAAAGCUUCAAAUUGUAACCUUGUUAACAGUCUCACAAGAAGCGAAACUUGUCUUUGAGUAUUGUAAUUUUGAAUAUUCAAAUGAGUGUCUAUAAAAAAAGAAAAUUAUUUAUGCUUACAAUAAGCAGAAUUAAUUUGAUUAUCUAUUUCUCCCCCCGACAUCUUGAUGAAUGAUUGAUAGGUAUAAUGUUAUAUCAAUAGCAGUGUUAAUGUCGGUACUAUCUCCUUGCUUCUUCCCCAGCUAUAUUAAUAUCAUUGACACUCUUUAAGAUUACCAAAUAGUCCUUUUUCUCAUCUUCUCCCUCGUAAUUAGAAUAAGGGUUCUUGAUAUCUAUUGCCUACAGUUGCUCCUUUUUCUUUAGAUGUGCUUUUCAUUGAAACAUUUUUGAAUUCUAACACGGUACACUUUGGCACGCUGGUUUAUAUAUUACUUGCAGAUCAUACGAGAGUUGAGUCUGAAGCAAGCAGAGCACAGGGCAGCAACCUCGGGAGGGAAUAAAUUAUGACUUGAAUUAUGUGUAUGUGAAAGGUAACGUCAGCAAAGUAUCAGCAAAGUAUUUUACCCUAUUCCUUGAGGUUUUGAAACGCAUAUACCUUGCAUUUAAAGUUAAAUUUUGUUUUUUAGCCUUUCUGCAGGCAACUUUGCAAAAAUGAAGCAAUCUUUAAUUCUUUUUAUUAAAAUGAAUUUUAUUUUUAUUUUUCUUUUCCUAGUGUUGAUGAUGUUAGGUGCAUUGAUAAUCAAGUUGAAAGAUUUCGAAUGUCUAGUUUGAAUAGUCUUUUUCUUUUUUUUUUUCUUUUUUUUGUCAAGGAUAUGAAUCUAUUAUAAAAUUUUUCUGGAGUGUGGCUUUGUGUA
rnacentral:lncRNA from 1 species